rnacentral:rRNA from 1 species
CUUACACAUGCAAGUCGAGGGAGAAGCCGAACUUCGGUUCGGUGGAGACCGGCGCACGGGUGAGUAGCACGUGGAUCAUCUACCUUCGGGUCUGGGAUAACAUUCCGAAAGGGGUGCUAAUACCGGAUACGUCAGCGUUGCUGGGAAAGCUCCGGCGCCCGAAGAUGAGUCCGCGUCCCAUUAGGUAGUUGGUGAGGUAAGGGCUCACCAAGCCGAAGAUGGGUAGCUGGUCUGAGAGGAUGACCAGCCACACUGGGACUGAGACACGGCCCAGACUCCUACGGGAGGCAGCAGUGGGGAAUCUUGCGCAAUGGACGAAAGUCUGACGCAGCAACGCCGCGUGGGUGAUGAAGGCCUUCGGGUCGCAAAGCCCUGUCAGAAGGGAAGAUAAUGACGGUACCUUCAGAGGAAGCACCGGCUAACUCCGUGCCAGCAGCCGCGGUAAUACGGAGGGUGCAAACGUUGUUCGGAAUCAUUGGGCGUAAAGCGCGCGUAGGCGGCGCCGUAGGUCGGGUGUGAAAUCCCGGGGCUCAACCCCGGAACUGCGCUCGAAACCCCGGUGCUCGAGUCUCGGAGGGAGAAGUGGAAUUCCUGGUGUAGGGGUGAAAUCCGUAGAUAUCAGGAGGAACACCGGCGGCGAAGGCGACUUCUUGGCCGAAGACUGACGCUGAGGUGCGAAAGUGUGGGGAGCGAACCAGGAUUAGAUACCCUGGUAGUCCACACCGUAAACGAUGCCCACUAGCUGGCGGGUGCAUGAACCCACGCGCUGGCGCAGUUAACGCGUUAAGUGAGCCGCCUGGGGAGUACGGUCGCAAGAUUAAAACUCAAAGUGAAUUGACGGUGUGCCCGCACAAGCGGUGGAGCA